UACAGAGGUCUCAAGCGUUUGUUCGGAUUCAUUGGGCGUAAAGGGUGCGUAGGUGGCGCGGUAAGUCGGGUGUGAAAUUUCGGAGCUUAACUCCGAAACUGCAUUCGAUACUGCCGUGCUUGAGGACUGGAGAGGAGACUGGAAUUUACGGUGUAGCAGUGAAAUGCGUAGAUAUCGUGAAGGAAGACCAGUGGCGAAGGCGGGUCUCUGGACAGUUCCGUG
rnacentral:rRNA from 1 species